GGCGGGGUAGCUCAGAUGGUUAGAGCGUCGGAUUCAUAACCCGGAGGUCACGGGUUCGAUUCCCGUCUCCGCUA
rnacentral:tRNA from 1 species